rnacentral:rRNA from 1 species
GAUGAACGCUGACAGAAUGCUUAACACAUGCAAGUCGACUCGAGUCUUCGGACUUGGGUGGCGCACGGGUGAGUAACGCGUAAAGAACUUGCCUCUUAGACCGGGACAACAUUUGGAAACGGCUGCUAAUACUGGAUAUUCACACAUUGUCGCAUGGUGGUGUGUGGAAAGCUUUUGUGGUGGGGGAUGGGCUCGCGGCCUAUCAGCUUGUUGGUGGGGUGAUGGCUUACCAAGGCUUUGACGGGUAACCGGCCUGAGAGGGUGACCGGUCACAUUGGAACUGAGAUACGGCCCAG